UUGGCUUGGAAGCAGCCAUUCAUUCAAAGAGUGCGUAACAGCUCACUAGUCGAGGAGCUGGGCGUGGAUAAUAAUCGGGUAUGAAACCAGUUACCGAAGCCGUGGGAUGCUUAAGCAUCGGUAGGGGAGCAUUGCAUGCGGCUUAGAAGGCGGGGCGCGAGCCCCUCUGGAGCGCAUGGAAACGCAAAUGUAGGUAUAAGUAACGACAAGGGGGGUGGGAUGCCCCCCCGCCGAAAGACCAAGGUUUCCUGAACAACGCUAAUCGGUUCAGGGUCAGUCGGGUCCUAAGCAUAAGCCGUAUGGCGAGGGCGAUGGACGAAACGGUUAAUAUUCCGUUACUGUCUUGGUGUGUGACGCGGCGACGGAGUAGUGACACGGCCGCCUCCUGACGGAAAAGGGGGUUGAAGCGCAAAGGUGUCGAGGAAGGCAGGCAAAUCCACCUUCCGAGCCGAAGCGCGAAAGUACGCCGGGCCCUUUGGGGCAAGGCGAUAGUGCCGGUAAUCAGACUUCCAAGAAAACCCGCUAAACUUCAGCACCAAGUCACCCGUACUCUAAACGGACACACGUGGUCGGGUAGAAUAUACUAAGGCGCUUGGGAGAUUCACGGUUAAGGAACUAGGCAAAUUGACCCCGUACCUUCGGAAUAAGGGGUCCUCGCUUUUGCGAGGCGCAGAGAAUAGGUCCAGGCAACUGUUUAACAAAAACACAGGGCUGUGCAAACUCGAAAGAUGACGUAUACAGCCUGACACCUGCCCGGUGCCGGAAGGUUAAGAGGAGAUGUCACACUUAUGUGGAAGCAUUGAAUUGAAGCCCCGGUAAACGGCGGCCGUAACUAUAACGGUCCUAAGGUAGCGAAAUUCCUUGUCGGGUAAGUUCCGACCUGCACGAAUGGUGUAAUGAUCCGGACGCUGUCUCAACCGUGAGCCCAGUGAAAUUGUAGUAUCGGUGAAGAUGCCGAUUACCCGCGAUGGGACGAAAAGACCCCGUGAACCUUUACUAUAGCUUAACGUUGUACCCGGGCUGUCGAUGAUUUUAUCUAUAAUAUUGGAUGCAUUUAAAUUUGUUUCAACAUAUAAAUUAUCAGCGAAUUUUCUUGGGGCUAUCAUAUCAUCCUCAGAUUCAGCAAUAUCUACUCUCGUUCCAGCACCUAUACACUUUCCCACUAACUGCUUUAUUUUAUCUGGAUAAUCUUCAUAUAUGUAAGUUAAUACUUUCUGGUAUAACCUUUUCCAGCUUCCAAUAUCAUCUUCUCUUUCUCCAAAGUACUCAAAGUACUCGACUUUUGAGAAUGCUAAGUUAGAAUUUUUCCCGAACUCUACAUAUUUUAUCUCCAGCUCAUCCUGCAUACUAUUUGCUUGAUAUAACUCUUGUUUUUCUAAUUCAUCAGAAUUAUAUUUAUUAUUUAGCCAUGCAAGAUACAAAUUUAUUGCCUUUGAAUAUUUAUCAAUUUUUGCCCUAUGUAUAUAUCUAAAUGCACCAUUUUUAUCAAUCAUUUCUUCUAUAUUUUUUAUUUUACUAACAUCAUAUGUUUCUAAUAUUGGGGACGAUAAUAUUUUUUCUUUUUGUAAAUAUUCAUCCAUAUCAUAGUAUGUCACAUAUAUUU
rnacentral:rRNA from 1 species